AUUGAACGCUGGCGGCAGGCUUAACACAUGCAAGUCGAGCGAGCGGCGGACGGGUGUGUUAUCUCUGGGACACUCCCUGAUGGAGGGGGAUAACUUCUGGAAACUGUAUAUAAUCCCGUAUUCUCUCAUAUGUGCCCAGAUGGGAUUAGCUAGUAGGUGGGGUAAUGGCUCACUUAGGCGACGAUCCCUAGCUGGUCUGAGAGGAUGACCAGCCACACUGGAACUGAGACACGGUCCAGACUCCUACGGGAGGCAGCAGUGGGGAAUAUUGCACAAUGGGCGCAAGCCUGAUGCAGCCAUGCCGCGUGUGUGAAGAAGGCCUUCGGGUUGUAAAGCACUUUCAGCGAGGAGGCGUUACUCGCAGAAGAAGCACCGGCUAACUCCGUGCCAGCAGCCGCGGUAAUUC
rnacentral:rRNA from 1 species